rnacentral:rRNA from 1 species
CGCGUAGGUGGUAGUGCAAGUCUGAGGUGGAAUCCCAGGGCUUAACCCUGGAACUGCCUUGGAAACUGCACUACUUGAGUCAGUGAGGGGAGGGUAGAAUUCCUGGUGUAGCGGUGAAAUGCGUAGAUAUCAGGAGGAAGGCCGGUGGCGAAGGCGGCCCUCUGGCGCUGAACUGACGCUGAGGCGCGAAAGCGUGGGUAGCAAACAGGAUUAGAUACCCUGGUAGUCCACGCCCUAAACGGUGGGUACUAGGUGUAGGGCUCGUAAGGGUUCUGUGCCGAAGCGAAAGCAUUAAGUACCCCGCCUGGGGAGUACGGCCGCAAGGUUGAAA